CCUGGUGGCGAGCGGCGGACGGGUGAGUAAUGCAUAGGAAUCUGCCCGGUAGUGGGGGAUAACGUGGGGAAACCCACGCUAAUACCGCAUACGUCCUACGGGAGAAAGCGGGGGAUCUUCGGACUUCGCGCUAUCGGAUGAGCCUAUGUCGGAUUAGCUAGUUGGUAAGGUAACGGCUUACCAAGGCGACGAUCCGUAGCUGGUCUGAGAGGAUGAUCAGCCACACUGGGACUGAGACACGGCCCAGACUCCUACGGGAGGCAGCAGUGGGGAAUAUUGGACAAUGGGCGAAAGCCUGAUCCAGCCAUGCCGCGUGUGUGAAGAAGGCUUUCGGGUUGUAAAGCACUUUCAGCGAGGAAGAAAGCCUCUGGGUUAAUACCCCAGAGGAAGGACAUCACUCGCAGAAGAAGCACCGGCUAACUCCGUGCCAGCAGCCGCGGUAAUACGGAGGGUGCGAGCGUUAAUCGGAAUUACUGGGCGUAAAGCGCGCGUAGGUGGCUUGGCACGCCGGUUGUGAAAGCCCCGGGCUCAACCUGGGAACGGCAUCCGGAACGGCCAGGCUAGAGUGCAGGAGAGGAAGGUAGAAUUCCCGGUGUAGCGGUGAAAUGCGUAGAGAUCGGGAGGAAUACCAGUGGCGAAGGCGGCCUUC
rnacentral:rRNA from 1 species